GAGGAACACGUAGGUAAUCUACCUUUGAGAUGGGGAUAACCCUGUGAAAGCGGGGCUAAUACCGAAUGUGGCGGUUCAUCGCAUGAUGGACUGACUGAAGAUGGGGCUCCUUCGGGACCUGUCGCUCAAGGAUGAGCCUGCGUCCCAUCAGCUUGUUGGUGAGGUAACGGCUCACCAAGGCUUACGGGUAGCUGGUCUGAGAGGAUAGUCAGCCACACUGGGACUGAGACACUGCCCAGACUCCUACGGGAGGCUGCAGUCGAGGAUCUUUUGCAAUGGGCGCAAGCCUGACAAAGCGACGCUGCGUGGAGGAUGAAAGCCUUCGGGUUGUAAACUCCUGUCAUUCGGGAAAAAUGAGCAUGGUGUUAAUAGUGCCGUGCAGUGAUGGUACCGGAAGAGGAAGCCACGGCUAACUCUGUGCCAGCAGCCGCGGUAAUACAGAGGUGGCGAGCGUUGUUCGGAUUUACUGGGCGUAAAGGGUGCGUAGGUGGUUUCGUAUGUCGGAUGUGAAAGCCCACAGCUCAACUGUGGAAUUGCAUUUGAAACUGCGGGGCUAGAGUGCAGGAGAGGAGAAUGGAAUUCUUGGUGUAGCGGUGAAAUGCGUUGAUAUCAAGAAGAACACCGGUGGCGAAGGCGGUUCUCUGGAAUGCUACUGACACUAAGGCACGAAAGCUGGGGGAGCAAACAGGAUUAGAUACCCUGGUAGUCCCAGCCCUAAACGGUGCGCACUUUGAUGUUGGAGGUAUUGACCCCUCCAGUGUCGAAGCUAACGCGUUAAGUGCGCCGCCUGGGGAGUACGGCCGCAAGGCUAAAACUCAAAGAAAUUGACGGGGGCCCGCACAAGCGGAGGAGCAUGUGGCUUAAUUCGAUGCAACGCGAAGAACCUUACCAGGGCUUGACAUGUAACUGCAAGUCCCAUGAAAGUGGGAUGCCUUCGAGGGUGUUACACAGGUGCUGCAUGGCUGUCGUCAGUUCGUGCCGUGAGGUGUUGGGUUAAGUCCCGCAACGAACGCAACCCCUGUGUCUAGUUGCCACUCCGGGUGUAAAUCCGGAAGCACUUUAGACAGACUGCCCGUACAAGCGGGAGGAAGGUGGGGAUGACGUCAAGUCAGCAUGGCCCUUACGUCCUGGGCUGCACACGUGCUACAAUGACCGGUACAGAAGGAUGCGAGACCGCGAGGUGGAGCAAAUCCUCAAAACCGGCCUCAGUUCAGAUUGAAGGCUGCAAUUCGCCUUCAUGAAGUUGGAUUCGCUAGUAACGGCGUAUCAGCUACGGCGCCGUGAAUACGUUCCCGGGCCUUGCACACACCGCCCGUCAAG
rnacentral:rRNA from 1 species